GACAGAGGAUGCAAGCGUUAUCCGGAAUGAUUGGGCGUAAAGCGUCUGUAGGUGGCUUUUAAGUCCGCCGUCAAAUCCCAGGGCUCAACCUGGACAGGCGGUGGAAACUACCAAGCUGGAGUACGGUAGGGCAGAGGGAAUUUCCGGUGGAGCGGUGAAAUGCGUAGAGAUCGGAAAGAACACCAACGGCGAAAGCACUCUGCUGGCCGACACUGACACUGAGAGACGAAAGCUAGGGAGCGAAUGGG
rnacentral:rRNA from 1 species